rnacentral:rRNA from 1 species
UCCUACGGGGGGCAGCAGUGAGGAAUAUUGGUCAAUGGGCGGGAGCCUGAACCAGCCAAGCCGCGUGAAGGAAGAAGGCGCCAUGCGUCGUAAACUUCUUUUGUCUGGGAACAAAGGUCGCCACGCGUGGCGUUUUGAGUGUACCCUAAGAAAAAGCAUCGGCUAACUCCGUGCCAGCAGCCGCGGUAAUACGGAGGAUCCGAGCGUUAUCCGGAUUUAUUGGGUUUAAAGGGAGCGUAGGCGGUCCGGUAAGUCAGCGGUAAAAGCUUGCGGCUCAACC